rnacentral:rRNA from 1 species
AUUGAACGCUGGCGGCAUGCUUUACACAUGCAAGUCGAACGGUAACAGGCCGCAAGGUGCUGACGAGUGGCGAACGGGUGAGUAAUGCAUCGGAACGUGCCCAGUCGUGGGGGAUAACGCAGCGAAAGCUGCGCUAAUACCGCAUACGAUCUAUGGAUGAAAGCGGGGGACCGUAAGGCCUCGCGCGAUUGGAGCGGCCGAUGUCAGAUUAGGUAGUUGGUGGGGUAAAGGCUCACCAAGCCAACGAUCUGUAGCUGGUCUGAGAGGACGACCAGCCACACUGGGACUGAGACACGGCCCAGACUCCUACGGGAGGCAGCAGUGGGGAAUUUUGGACAAUGGGGGCAACCCUGAUCCAGCAAUGCCGCGUGCAGGAAGAAGGCCUUCGGGUUGUAAACUGCUUUUGUACGGAACGAAACGGUCCUGGUUAAUACCUGGGGCUAAUGACGGUACCGUAAGAAUAAGCACCGGCUAACUACGUGCCAGCCGCCGCCGUAAUAC